rnacentral:rRNA from 1 species
AUUGAACGCUGGCGGCAGGCCUAACACAUGCAAGUCGAGCGAGGGGCGGACGGGUGAGUAAUGUAUGGGGAUCUGCCCGAUAGAAGGGGAUAACUACUGGAAACUGUAGCUAAUACCGCGUACAAUAGGAUGAGCCAAAGUGGGAUGAGGUAGUUGGGGAGGUAAAGGCCCACCAAGCCGACGAUCUCUAGCCGGUCUGAGAGGAUGACCAGCCACACUGGGACUGAGACACGGCCCAGACGCCUACGGGAGGCAGCAGUGGGGAAUAUUGCGCAAUGGGGGCAACUCUGACGCAGCCAUGCCGCGUGAAUGAAGAAGACCUUCGGGUUGUAAAGUACUUUCAUCGAGGAGGCGGUACUCGAAGAAAAAGCACCGGCUAACUCCGUGCCAGCAGCCGCGGUAAUUC